AUUGUGGUAGAUAUAAAAUAUGAGACAAGGAAAUUGAUAUGCAGUUGACCCUUGAACAACGUGGGUUUAAAUUGCACAGAUUCACUUACAUGCCAAUAUUUUUGAAUAGUAAAUACUACAGUAUUACAUGGUCGGUGGUCGGCUGAAUUAGCAGAUGUGGAGGAACCUUGGAUACAGAGGGUGGGCUAUAAGUUAUACAUGGAUUAACCCCUGCGUUGUUCAAGGAUUAAUUGUACUUGAGAAAAAUCAAGCCUGCCUUCCUUGUACAAGGGGACUAAUCAAGGAAAAUAUGUGUUACUCAAAAUCAGAGCACGGUUAUCCUCAGCGUUAGAAUUGGAUAGGUAAUUUAACAUGUUCUAUAAUGAAAUUAUUAGAUCUUUAGCUGUUUUUAGGAGUAUGAAAUUUCUAUCAACCUUGAAGUCAAAGGAAAAUUUUAAAAAUAAGAUGAAAACUUGGGAAAAUGUAACCACAAAAUUAUAAAAAGGGAUCGUAGAGGUUACCUAAUUUUCCUCCAUUUGCAAGAAUCCUCUCUCCAACUUCCUGCCGGCCAGAUGGUCCCUUUAUGUGCCAUGUAAACACUGCCAUCGAUGGACAUACAGGCAGGGGGUGCCAGUGGUUACAGGCUUGGAGCUUGAGUCAAACCCAGACCUGGGUUCGAGCACCGGCUCCAUCGUUUACUGGUUCUGCGAUCCUAGGCAGGUCGUGUCAUCUCAAUGAGCUUGAGUUUCCUCAUUGUUGAUAAUACCUACCUCAUAGGAUUGUGGGAGGAUUACAUGAGGUGGCACACCAAGUAUUUACCGUAACAUCUGGCAUAUAGUAGACAUACCUAGAUGUUAGCUCUUGCACUUCUAGCUGCUCCUACUACUCUUAUACAUGAAUAAUCUUUCAGGGCCACCCAGUCUACUGUAGGAAAACUAUAAAUACUAGAAAGUUAAAACUUACAUUAAGGCGAGGUUUUUCCUCUUCUUUUUUCUUUUCUUUUUUUUUUUUUUUUUAAUUCAUGGUUUCAAGUGUGUGCUCUAAAGCAUCACAAAAAAGUGAAAGGAAUUACCUCUUGUGACAAUUCAUCAGCUUUUGGAGCGACCAAUAAAUUCUUCUUCCCCAAGCCAGGCAUCUCCAAGUUCCUUCACCAGUUAUUCCUGUGUCAGGCUUUCCAGAUCCUUUCUUUUUACUCUUCACCGAUUGCCCUCAAGUUUUGUGUCCUCCAGAAAUGAGCCUGGCGUCCCACAUGAAGUUGGGGCACAGAGCAUGGCCCUUUGCAGUUGGCUUUCCGUCCUGCUCCCGGGAAGGAACCUCUAGGGCUAUGAUGGCCUCUCCAGCCCUGAGGGGUGGACCCUGCCUCUCUGGCCUCUCCGGCCUCUCCUUUGCUUCACUCUUGCCCCACUCGCUUUGUUCUGAGGACGGUGGCCUCCUCUUGUGCCACAGACCCGUAAGCCCCCUCCUACCUCAGAACUCUGCUCUCCCUCUGCCUGGAGCACUCGUCUCCUGAUACUUGCUCUCCUCUCCCUCACCCUGGCCUUUCAUCCCGUGGCACUUGCCCGGUAAGCCCCUGGCCACCCUGGUUCCUGGGACUCCCUUUCCCCUCCCAGCUUUAUUUUUGUUGUCAGUGUUCUCCACCACCUAACACACUGUGUAUUUCACUCCUUUACCUGUUUCUUUCCACUUGGUAGACUGUAAGUCCUCUGUGUGCAGGUAUUUUUGUCUGCUUUGUUCGCUGCUGAUUCCCUGCAGCCUGGAAUGCCCGGCAUGGUGUAGGUGGUUGAUGAAUAUUUGUGGCAUGAAGAGCACAAUGGGAGGAUUGACUCCCCUCUAUGAAGAAGUUGUGUCAUACUAGGCUGGGAAGGGGUGCUUGAGCACCAGUUGACAGUCAUGGGUCCUUUUUUGUUUUGUUUGAAAAAAUCGGAAAUUUUUGUUUUUUUUAAGAAGAUGUUAGGGGUAGGAGUUUAUUAAUUAAUUAAUUUUAUUUUUGCUGUAUUGGGUCUUCGUUUCUGUGUGAGGGCUUUCUCUAGUUGUGGCAAGCAGGGGCCACUCUUCAUCGCGGUGUGCGGGCCUCUCACUAUCGCGGCCUCUGUUGUUGCGGAGCACAGGCUCCAGACGCGCAGGCUCAGUAGUUGUGGUUCACGGGCCUAGUUGCUCCGAGGCAUGUGGGGUCCUCCCAGACCAGGGCUCGAACCCGUGUCCCCUGCAUUAGCAGGCAGACUCUCAACCACUGCGCCACCAGGGAAGCCCGGAAAAAAUUUUAGAGUGUACUUAAAGAAGGAAAAAUUAGAAGCCACGUUCAUUAUUUUAAGACUUUGGGAAUUUUCCAGUCACUUUGGUUGCUUAAUCAAUAUUUUAUUGAAUACAUAACCUUAUUUGCUGAGUUUUGUUUUGUAAAAAUCAAUAUUGGUCAUUAAAACAAGGAUAUUUAUUCUUUAAGUAUAACUUAACAGAGCUUUCCAAGUAGUGGGCUUAAGAGUAGUGAUCUUUUCAACCCUUAGAAUGGCCAGAGCCCCAAAUCAGGUGCUUGGUCUCUCCACACAAAGGUUGUUUUCCAUGUGUGCCAGGACUUGCAAAACUUGGGAAGCACUGCUUUAGACACAUAAAAUGUUUUCUUCAGAUGGAGUUAAAAUCUGCUGAGCUGUGAUUCGAGCAUAUUUUAGUCAUCCCCUCCCCCCCGCCCAGUUUGAGAACCAUGAAAACACUUGUCGAAACAGCAUAAAACAUCAAAAUUCUGUAAAAGCAAAGUUAUUGUCUUUGUGGACUUAAUGAUGUUCAACCAAAAGAUAUUUCCAGAGACAGAGCUGAAGGCAUUAAAAGAGGGGAGUUGGGGAUCGUGGGGUAGCUGUGCAGUGGAAUAGUCCUCAGCAGUGAAAAGGAAAGAACUGCUCAUACUUGCAGCAACAUGAAGGAAUCUGAAAAACAUUAUACUGAGUGAAAGAAGCCAGGCACAAAGGAGUACACUCUGCACGGUUCCAUUUAUUUGAAGUUCAAGAGCAGACAAACCUAAAGCAUAAGUUACAGAAGUCAGAGCAGUGGUUUGCAGGGCUGAGGACAACAGGGAGAGCCAGGGGACCUGGGGGAGGGAGAGAAGAGAAAUGGUCUUUAUCUUUAUAGCGGUGCUGGUUAUGUGGGGUGUACGUUUGUGACUGUUCGUUGAACUCUACAUUUAAAAUUGAUGUAUAUAAUCUCUCAGUCAAGUCAAUUUAAAAAAUUAGAGUUGGUGGGGCGUUACCUUUUCUAGUUAUUUUCACCAACAGAACUAUCAGCUACAGAGCCCUUGAAUAACAUCUGAAAAUAAGAUAUGUUUAGAUCAUGAUUAAACUUCUCUGCUUUUAAAAAUGGUUGUUUACCUCCUGCGGGAUUAUCUCUAAAAAAAGAAAUGUAUUUCAGGGAUACAUAAGAUAUAUAAAUCUGUGGUGAGUGAUUACAUAAGAGUAAAGCUAUUUUUAGGUAGAAGCUUUGCAGCCAUGAUGCAGCAGGAGCGUGCUUUACAGAAUCUCAGAUCGGGUUCCUAUAGUAGACGGCUGAGAGAGCCAUGCGCGCUGCACUAUAGGAGGGUACCUUGUAAGCAUCAUUUUGCGUUUGAUGCAAUGCAGAUUUUUCACAAUUGCGAUUUUGAUGCAAAAGUUUGCAAACAUCAAUUCCUAAAUAGACACAUUUAAAGAUAUUUUGCUAAUUGUAAAAUUAUGAGAGAUUUAUGAAAGACACACACACACACACACACACACACACACACACACACACACACACACACACACACACACACACAUAUAUAUAUAUAAAAAAUAUAGAGCUAUUUUCUAUAAAGCAUAGGGAAGAAUAUAAACACCAGAGCCCAGCAACCACUGGCAGGAGGUUUUGGUUUGUCUUAGUUUGUUUGUAUUGGCAAAUACACAAAUACAGCAGACAUUGCAGUUGGAUAUCCUUUGUUGUUUUCAGUAGUAUCAGAGUAUUUUUCUUUGUCAUACAUAUUCUUCAAAAAUAUGUUUGAGUAAGAAAUGUAUUAUUUUGGCUCCCAUAGUCAGCGAGCGAGUGGUCUUUUCACUAUGCCCUUACUAUUGCUAAAUAUUCUCAUUUUUCUAUAGCUUUAUUGAGGUUAUAAUUGACAGACAAUAAAUUGCACACAUUUAAAAUGUAGUUCAGUGAGUUUUGAUGCACGUUUAUGUUGUAGACCCAUCAUCACUUUCAGGAUUAGGAAUAUUUCUAUUACUUCCAAAGGUUUAUUCCUGCCUGUUGUGGUACCUCCUCCUCUUCCUUCCACCCUCAUCCACAGGCAGCUAUUGAUCAGCUUUCUGUCACUAAUUAGUGCUCCGUAGGCAUUGUCUAGAAUUUUACAUAUAUGGAAUCAUGCUUUUAUGGGGGUGGAGGAGGUUCAGCUUCUUUAAUAAUGAUCUGCAGAUUUAUCCAUGUUGUUGCUCGUAGCAAUAGUUCAUUCUUUUUUAUUGCUGAACAGUGCUCCAUUUUAUGGCUGUACCACAGUUUAUUCACCUGUUGAUGGACAUUUGGAUUGUAUCCAGUUUUUGUGUGGAGUUUUCGUGUGGACAUAACCUUUCAUUUCUCUUAGGUAUCAAUAAAUACUUAGGAGCAAAUAGAAUGGCUGGAUCAUGUGGGAAAUGCAUAUUCGUGGGGGCUUUUUUUUUAGUUUCUGUUUUAAUUAAAAAAAUUAUAGCGUUUAUAUAACGUAAAAUUAACUGUUUUGAGCAUAAGGUGCAUUGGCAUUUGGUAAUUCACAAUGUUGUGUAACCGUCACUCUAUCUACUUCCAAAACAUUUUCAUCCCCCAAAAGAACCCUGUACCCAUUAAGCAGUCACUCCCCAUUUCCACCCCUGCCCCCAGCCCCUAAAAAUGACUAACCUGUGUUCUGUCGCAGUGGAUUUGCCUGUUUGGGGCAUUAUAACUGGAAUCAUUGCGUGUGUGAGCUUUAGUGUCUGGUUCCUUCAGCCUCAUGUUUUCCAGCAUCGUGUGCAUCGUAGCGUCUAUCAGUACUUUAUCUUAAUGACUGAAUAGUAUUCCAUUGUAUAUAUACAACACAUCUUAUUCAUUCAUUCAUUUAUGGACGUUUAGGUUGUUUUUACCUUUUGGCUAUUGUGAAUAGUGUUACUUUGAACACUUUUGUACAAGUAUUUGUUUGAACAUGUUUCAGUUUUUUGGGGUAUAUACCUAAGAGUGAUUUUUCUGGGUCAUAUGGUAAUUCUGUGUUUAGCUUUUUUUGAGGAACCACCAAACUGUUUUCCACAGCAUCUGCAGCAUUUUACAUUCCCACCGUCAGGGCACAAGGGUUCUUUUUUUUCCCCAUCCUCACCAACACUUAUUGUCCUAGUGGCUGUAAAGUGAUACGUCAUUGUUACGAUUUGCAUUCUUCUAAUGACUAAAGAUGUUGAGCCUCUUUUCAUAUACUUGUUGGCCAUUUGUAUAUGUUUGGAGAAAUGUCUGUUCAAGUUCUUUGCUCAUUUUAAAAUUGGGUUGUGUAAAAAAUUUUGGUCAAAAUAAAUACUCCAUGAGGACAUUGCAUUUAUACAUAUACACAGUUUUUCCAUAAAAAAUUUUUAUUUAGUUAUUUAUUAUUGAGAAUAUAUCUUCUUUGAUACAUUUUUUCCCUUAGAGGUUCAUUUAAAAAAAAAAAAAACUAGUUCCUAUAGUUCAUUAUUCAAACAUGGUUUAGCCGAGACAUGUUCAAAGCAGCUGUAAUCUUCUAUAGGGCAAACAUCCCACACUAAAUUGUUUUUUCAUAUCUUCAGCAAUUUUUUCUGUCUUACAGCAGUAUUUUCUGACAAAGGAAUAUAUCUUAGUUUUUCAUCACACUAUUUUCUGUCUACUAUUUUUUUUGUAAUUUGAGAAUAAGUAUUUCCUCAAGUGAUUUGUAGCUUUUUGUCUUUUCUGUUAAAAACCAUUAAAGGAGUUGCUAAACAUUUGAUUACAUUUAGUGAAGAAAUUGAAAAGGUAAAGCUCUGGACUGAAUGUCAGGUAACUUUAAACAUCACUGAAGAAAUUUGGGGAAGUUUAUCUUCACCCUCUCGAUGCUUAGCUUUUAAAUGUUGAGACACAUGUCAUGACUUCAUGUGCUCAUUAGUUUAUAUCUCAAGGCAUAAUAAUAACCCAUAAAUAGAGGGUGACCUGCACACAUCCAUAUAUCUAUGUAUUUGUAUCCAUAUCCAUAUUUCAUACGGUCUUCUGGAGAACCGGCUUCUUGUCAUCUGAUUAUAUGUGAUCUGUUUUUACCAGGGUAGCUGACAGAGCUCCCACUGGCAGUAGAAGCCUUUGCUGUAUUCCCUUUGUUCACUUUGUUAGCAUCGUUAGUAUCUUCGAUCUGGAUUUCCUUUGUGGUGCUCUUUACGUUAUGGGUGUAUUUUGUGAAUUCACUGAAACUAGAUGAUACAUUCUGUAAGUCCUCGUAACCAGGCUCUCAUGAACUGCAGUGCAUCCUGAUACCCUGGAAGCAGUUGCUUCUGUCAGCCUCUGAGUGGUAGCCUCCACUCUUCCCCGAAGUUACUGUGCGUCCUGCACUUGACCCUGGACCAAGUGACCCGUGGACCCUGUGGAGGCACCGUUGUUGUUAAUCUGUAUAUAUCAUAUCUGUAUAUGUAACAUUUGGUCUAAUAUUUUUACAAAAGUAAAUAUAAAAGACUUUAUAAUAUUCCUAUAUCUCAUGGGUACACACACUCCACUUUGGAGACUGUAAAUGAAAGCAAGUAAAGAACCAUUGAAAAGCUUAAAAGUAAUGAUGGGUUUGCAUUUUAAGUAGGUGUACUGGGCAGGAAUGUGAAGUGUCUUUUUGUCUUUUUCUCCUUCUAGACUAUAAACUCUCCAGGGAUUAACCAAUCUCUUCUUCUGUUGAUACUUUGUAUCCCUAGCAGUACCUUGAGAUAGUAGUACGUGCCCAGCAAAUAUUUAACUAAACUGAAAUUCUCCUGAAUUGGCAAUUCUUAUCCAGAAGCCACAUUAGAAUAAUUUGUGGAGUUUUUGAAACAGCAUCACAUGUAUUAGUGUUAGUAUUAGCAUUGAACAACAAACCCAAAGCCAAAUAACAUGAGCUUAAGUUAGAGAAUUUCUUUUUCACCUUAAAGAAGAUGGGAGGUAGGCAGUCUGGGCCUGGUGUGGCAGUUUCAGGUGUCGGCGGCUGUUCCAAAUACUAAAGUCUAGUCAGGAGGAAGGAAGCAAGCAAGCGAGCAAAAAAUAGGAGUGUGCCUUGCCCUUUAAGGAGACCGGGUGGAUUCCUUACAUCACUUCCAUUCUUGCAGAACUUAGUCAUGUGGCCACAGCUGCCAGAAAGACUGAGCAGUGGUGUUUCAGGUGGGAAGACUGAGCAAUGGUGUUUAAGGUGGGAAGACUGAGCAAUGGUGUUUAAGGUGGGAAGACUGAGCAAUGGUGUCUAAGAUGGGAAGACUGAGCAAUGGUGUUUCAGGUGGGAAGACUGAGCAAUGGUGUUUCAGGUGGGAAGACUGAGCAAUGGUGUUUAAGGUGGGAAGACUGAGCAAUGGUGUUUAAGGUGGGAAGACUGAGCAAUGGUGUUUAAGAUGGGAAGACUGAGCAAUGGUGUUUCAGGUGGGAAGACUGAGCAAUGGUGUUUCAGGUGGGAAGACUGAGCAAUGGUGUUUAAGAUGGGAAGACUGAGCAAUGGUGUUUCAGGUGGGAAGACUGAGCAGUGGUGUUUAAGAUGGGAAGACUGAGCAAUGGUCUUUAAGAUGGGAAGACUGAGCAAUGGUCUUUAAGAUGGAGGGCAUUGGUAAUCAACUAUACUCCAAUAUAAAAUAAAAAUUAAAAAAAAAAGAUGGAGGGCAGUGUAGCCAGCUGACAACUUGGGGUUCUUACUAAGGAAGAAGAGGAGACUAGAUCUUGGGAGAAGUCAGAGUACAUGGACCACAUUCGUUCUUUUAAGUCCUGAGGCAGUAGGUCUGGGCUGAAACUGGACAUUCUGAUUAAAAACCAAACCAAACCAACCCUGUAGCUGCUCCACGUAUACUCUUCACGGUGGAGUAUCUCAACUCUAAGCCAAGUUUGGAACAGAACAGAUCUUAAAAGAAAAGAAACCCUUCUCCUGGGGAGGGCAUGGAUUCAGCCAAGUUCCUAAUCUGCCUAACAAUCUUGCCAUUUUACAGUGAUGCCAUUCCUGACAGGGGUCCAAGGGAUGGUUUUAGCAAGUGCUUUGCUGUAGUCCAGGUAACUGCCUGCCCUCCCUUAUUUAUCUGGUCCAUCAGUCUAGUAACCCCAUUCCCCCAAACAGUGAGACCCUCUGCUUCUAAAAUUCCUGAUCGUGGAUUGCCAUCGACUGUGUUUAGGGUCUAAUGGUUAUUGGCAACACCAUGGGUUGGAAAGCUUGUGGGCUUUGGCGUUAAAAGAUCUUGGUUUCACUUUUUUAUUCUUCUCCUAACCUUUGUCAAGUUACUUAAACUUUAUGACCUACAUAUAUGCCUUCCUCAUAGGGCGGUUAGGAAGGUUUAAUGAACAGUAUGUAAAAGUGCCUUUUAAAAUGUAAAGUGCUAUGCAUAUGCUUUAUCAGUCAUAGACAGAAACAGCCCUGUGUAAGCAGAACCAUUGUUUACACAAAUGCUUAGGAAGUUAAGCCCUGUUUUUUUGCUAGAUGAACUCUCAUACUAAAGUUAAGAAUAAUGAGAUUUUAAGCAACAUUUUUGCUCAGGGUCGUGCACUUAAAUUAUUAGUUCUGGGAUAAACUGUGAAAUACUUGUUAAUACUGGUUAAAGAGAUUUUACCAAAAAAGUUAUUUUGCAUUGCUUCAGUCCCCCUCUGUUCUCUCCUAUUACUAUACACCCAAAUGUUCUUCAUUUUAAAAUUCUUUUUCAAGACUUACUAUUGAGCAUGUCAUAUGCAACCGUUCCAGGCACUUAGGGAAUACAGUCAUAAACAGCUAUUUAAUCGGGAGUUUGAGACAUGAUUAAAAGAAUAGACUUUUUAAAAUUUCAGAAUCUUUAUUGAGUAGGUUGAUUUGGAAUUUUACCAUUUUCAUAUAGCCAACACUGAUUUUUUACAUUAUAUUGAAAUUUGUUUGCCACAGUUUAAUAUAUACUAUUACGUGGCAGUUUAACAUCCUGUUCUGUAAUUUAUGUGAUACCUAAAAACCUUUUGAAAUUUUUAAUGCAUUAUACUAUAAUCUAGAAUAAUUUGGAGAUUAUACAUUGAUGUAGUAGUGCUCUUAGGAAUAUAAUUCUGUAAGUGCUCACUUCCGGAAUGUAAAAUGUACGUAGUUAUGGAAGUUGCACUUUAUUGUAGUUGUUCCUUACGUGACUGUUACAAUCCGUGUCAACUGAUUCAGCUUUGUAAUUGAAAGAGAAAAUUAUUAUGAAAUCUUACUUGUACCAAGUUAUUUCAAAUGCCAGAACCAUUGAGCAAGGGAGUGGACUUCAUGUGUAUUGAAUCUACUGCUGGUAGCAUACCAUGGAAGUGAACGGUACUUUUGUUUCAGAAGACAUAUUUCUCUUUUCUGCUUCUUUUUUUAAAAAAUGUAAAACCGCAACUUAGUCGCAUUGUUGUUUGUAUGUAGCAUUAUUCUCCCAUUGAUUUUAUUUCUAUGGGAGGUUAUUUUAAUUUAUUUUUUUAAAUUAAUUUUUAUUGGAGUAUGGUUGCUUUACAAUGUUGUGUUAGCCUCCACUGCACAACAGAAUGAGUCAGCCAUACACAUACAGAUAUCCCCUCCCUUUUGGACUUCCCUCCCAUUUAGGUUACCACACUGCAUUAGGUAGAGUUCUCUGUGCUAUACAGAACGUUCCCAUCCGUUGUCUGUUUUAUACAUAGUAUCAAUAAUGUGUAUGUGUCAAUCCCAGUCUCCCAAUUCCUCCCUCUGUGGGAGGUUAUUUUUAAAUCAGACUGACAAAAAUAGCUAUCAGAUAGUCUGGGUUUAUAUUGAUUCUUCUAAGAAUCACUAGCCCUUGCUUUUUAAACUCUCCAUUUAUUUACCAUGUUUCUUAAGUGACUGUUUAUUGGGCUCUGUCCUAGAUAUGGGAAUAGGCAGUUACCCCCAAAUUCCUCCUUGACUUAAAAUGUCUGAAGAUACAUCUGGGAGUAAUUGAUUUAACAGAUUAUUAGCAGAAACUGCAGUUUAACAAGCUCCAUUGAGGUCAUUUUACUUAGAGUAUGUCAGUAAGUCAGCAAGCAGGUAACACCCUCACCUUCAUUCCCAAGGCAGAGCGCAGGGACAGAGAAGUAUAGAGGUAAUUCCCAGUGGGGUUUCCUUUUCUACUGGCUUGAGCCAGAUUGAGGAAGAUGGCAGUGCCCGUAAGAAAGGGGCUUUUUUUUUUUAACGGUGCCAGGAGCAAGCCACAGUCUAUUAUGAGCAAAGGGAAAAUUCUGGAACAGCUGCCUUGUGUUGGGUUGACCAGAUUAGUGUGAAAGAGGCUUUGGAGGGCCUUGGAUAUGAUCUCAUUUGAAAUCCCAGGGCAAGCUUUUCAAUGCUGUGUAUAAUGUUACAGAGACUGGUAGCUUCUUACACAUCACAUGCCGGGACCUAUAGGUUGAAGACCUCUGUUUCCUAUUCUUUCUAGUUCUUAUAUGCACUGAGACAAAAGGAGCAACUAGAAGAAAACUUGGUUACACAUACCUACUAUCUGCGUCUGGGCACGUACAUGCUGCUCUUUCUCCUGCAGCUAAGGAUGAGCUGUCCGUGCCCUUAGCGAAGGCCAACUGUGUGGAUUAGAGCCCAUCCUUUCACUGCAAGUUCAAGAACAUCAUUCCAGCAGUUCUCUCCUUGCACUCCUACAUCACUAACUUCCUCUCUGUUGAAUCUUUCCCGUCGAUGUAGAGACAUGCUGGGUUGUCUUUCAUAAUAAAACCUACUGACCCCCACACCCCCUUCCAGCAAUUGCCCCAAUUUUCUCCUUUCCUUUUUAGCACAAAGAAUAGGCUGUACUUGCCCUUUCCAAGUUUCCUUCUCUCAUUUCUACUCACCCACUCCCGUCAUGCCUUUGCCUUCAGCAUUCUCUUAACGCUCCACUGAGCCUUUCCUUGUCAAGGUCACCAUUGACCUCAUCACUAAAUCCAGAGGGCUUUUCUUAGUUCUCGUAUCAUUUGAUCCAUCAUCAGUGUUUGACAUGUUUAAUCACUCGUUCCUCCUUCAAGUACUUCGUUUAGGCUUCCAGAAUACCACACACUUCUGAGUUUCCUUCUCUCUCCUCUUUUUUUGUUUCCUUUGCUGGUUCUUUCUCGUCUCUCCCAUCAGAAGGAAAUCUCAGUCCUUGGAUUUCUUCCUGUGUCUGUCUCACUUUCUCCCUUAGUGAUUCUAUCUAGUCUUAGAGCUUAAAACAUAAUCUAUUUGCAAAGGACUCCCAGAGUUAUAUCUCUAGCCUGGACCUCUUCCCUGAAGACCUGAUUUGGUUAUCUAAUUGUCUACAUGACAUCUGCAUGAACGUCUCAUGGUAACUCUCAUGUAUGAGUUCCUGAUUGUCCUGGUCCUGCAGUCUUCCUGCAUUGGGUAAUGAUGACGCUAUCUUUAGUUGCUCAGGGCAAAACUAUGGAGUCAUCCUUGAUUCUUCUCUCACGUCCCAUAGAUGAGCCUUCAGAAUACAUCCAGAAUCUGACUACAUGUCAUCACCUCCAUUGCUAUUACCCAUCUCUUACCUGGAUUGUUGCAGUAGCCUCUUAGGGAUCUUUUUGAUUCUAAGCUUGACCUUCCCCCCAGGUCUCUUCUUCAGCUUAUCAGUCAAAGACAUUGUGUUAAAAUGUAAAUCAAAUAAUGUUACUUCUCUGCUCAGAACCAUGCAGUGGCUCCUCUUGUCAGUCACAGUCAAAGCCAGAACUCCUACAGUGGUCUGCAAGCUCUCUGCAGUUCCCCUCCCCACCACAGCCUCCUUGCACAUCCUACCUCAUCUCCAUUUCCUCCUAUCAGACAAAUCUGCUUGGUCACUGAGGCUUAUUUAUAGUUAAGUAAGUGUCUUUCUUAGUGAGAGGAAGGACUGAAAGAAAAGGCUUCAGGAACAUAAGGAAAUGUGUACAGUUGAAAAGGCAUUGCUGGGAUGGCAAAGAAGAAGGGCAUUAGAGUCAGCGAAACCCUAAAAGUUAAUGUGUGCAAGGGUGCUUUGUAAAUCUGUAAAACAAAGCAAAUGUAUACUAUCCAUUCAUGAGGAUAUGUUUCCGUACUUGAUCGUGCCUGAGACAUGGGAUCAGAUCUUGAUGGUCCUGCACCCUGGGGGUGAGAGUGUGAUUCAGCCUGGCUGUGAACCUGGAAUAAUGUCUGCUUGCAUUCACGUGAGAGCUGCCCCGCCCAGAGUAGUGCUGUCGUCCUCAACGAGCAGAAGAGCCCUUACCAGCUGUAAAUGACCAGGACCACUUUGCAACAGCUGUGUGGCAGUAGCAGGGAUAAGUCAGCAUAUUGUUGGUCCUCACGGAAAUAAGUGCCAAUGCAAUUCCUUAUCUAAGAAAUAAAAUUAGAUGUUUUUAAAUUCAAGAUGUAGUAUUUUGGUCAUAAGCCAAUAUGUCCUUUGUUAUAGCCACACAUCCAGUAACAAAGAAGAAAGGAGAAAGACUAAUGCUGUUGAACUGACCAGAGUGUAGCCAGUUGAAAGAGCUUAACUAGAUUGAUCAUCAGGGCCAGAAUGUCACGUAACCUGUAAUUGGGUAAUUGGCCACAGGGUUCUCUGAAUACUAAUCACUUACUCCUGCUUAGUGGUGUGUCUUUGCCAGAUUUCAUCAUUGUCUCUGCCUGAUUUAACCUCUCAGAAACAUAGGUAAGUAACAGGGUGCUUUAUAGAAGGAGAGAGCCGAUGCACUGUGUAUUUACUGGCUAGCGCGAGACUUUUUAAGACGCUGAAUUCUUUUGCUGGCAUCCAUUCACUGACAGAGUGAAGAACACUUUGGAAGUAUUCACCGUGCAUUUCACCCACCAGCAUGAAAUGGAGUAAGAUGAAAGGGGGUCAUGUUGAAGUGAUGCGAGGAGAUUACUGGAAAGGCUUGAAUUUGCAUUAGUCUUAAGGGGCCACAGACACAGAGCAAUGUGUCUAUUAAGAAUAAUUAAUAAUGUGUAACUAUUAAAUAUGUGAUGGUUCAGUCCUUAAGUUGUUCCUAAUAAAAAGGUUGGCAUUUAUGUUUACUUGGUUAUAUGUUGAUUUUUGUUGUGGCAGAGUGGCUGAGGGCAUAGAUUUUAUAUGUGAGUUUGAAGAAUUCACAGACCCUGUGCUAGAAAUGGCCUAAUGUAAUUACAGACACGUGCUGGGCUUCACUGGUUUUGUGAAGGAAGGAAGUUCUUUGUUCCCUUAAUAAAAACUAGGGUAGUUAUAGUUUGAGGAUUUAAAAAACCAAAGUCAUAUGCAUGUAUCAGUGCAAGUGCUGAUACACAGAAAAGUGAAGAGCACUGUGCCUGGAAUUUCAGAGAGGGAUCGCAUAAAGGUACUGUUUCUGUUCCAACAUAACUUCUAAGCUGGCAAGUGAGAAUUCAGAGACAGAGUUGAAAAGUAAGAUGAAGAUUUUAUGCAUAAGUUAUCUAAGAACCUAUUGAGAAAUAGGUGGCGCUGCUAGAGUUCUUCCGUUUGUUUGUUUUUUAAUUUGAAGACCACUGUGUUGAAGCCACCAAUUAGAUUAUUCGACAGCAGUAGAAUCCCAUAAGUUCCUUAUGCAGAACUUGUACUCUGUAUCACUUGAUGAGUAGUUCUACACUAAACUAAGUAGUUCCAGUACAGGAUAUCCCCUAAGUG